GAUGCUUUUGCCAGGGACAGAACAGGAAUGGAGUCUUAGAACUCACUGUUACAGGAAUAUAAACAUGUUCUCUGGCCACACAACUGCAGAUCUUCAUGACUUGGAUUCAUUCAUCUUCACCAACACAGUAUCCCAGUCACAUCACAAGGGGAAGUCUAAGCCCGCAAGACUGAGGUCUCCAAGUCUACUCUGGAUUAACCCUGCACUUUUGAUGGAAGAAUUGGAACAAACUCUGCAUGUGGGCUGCCUAUUGGACUAUAUCCUUUUAAAUUGAUGCCAGAAGGAUUUUUACAAAUCCACAGCCUCCUCUCUGCCAUGAAACUGACUUAAGAAAUUUAUUCAUAUCUGUAUGUAUAAUGAUCUCUAACCAUAGCAACUUUCUUUUCU